UCUAAUUAAGAGAAACUAACAAAAAACUCAAAACAACGGAAUUGGGCCCCUGAUGUGCAAGCCCACAGAGGAAAGGGGUAGGUCCAUGGCAUGGGGGUGUAAUAAGCGAGAAUUCAUUUUGGAGCAAUGGGCCCAAACAGCCACAACCUAAGCACGCCGAUCGAAGCCCAAACGCCACCGUAAUAAGUCCCCAAGCCUCAGCAAACACUACAAGCUCCAUCCCGCUUUCGACGUUCACUUCCAUGUCUGUCGCCGGCUUCUUCUCAGGCUAUCUUCAACUUCGCAUUCGCGACGGAAGUAAUCGAAGGAAAGCAGCUCUGACAUCUCACUCUCGUUCAAGGAAAAGACCGGCGAACACCUAAUUGACUCCGCCGCGCCGACGAUGGCGGCGUCCCUAAUCGACACCUUUACUCUCCUCCAGAUUACGGAUCCACACAAAAAAUAACCCAACUCCGAAUCCACGGCUCCGACUAGCGACGCCAACGGACGAACCCUAACCAAUUCUAUUCAAAAUUAAACGCUACCUACGAGGAGUUAGAGCCUCUCACCCGAGGGCUUUAAUUCCUCUCUUCAAACUCUACCUUACUAUAACCUCAAAUGAAGCGAAGGAUACGAGUUUCGACAUUACCUCAUCAAAGAAUGCGACUUAAACGGCGAUGACGGCAACGGAAAUAGGUAAGCUCUUGGUCCUACGUCCUUUCCUUCUUCUUCUCCGUUCUUCUUCUGAAAUUUGGCCCUGGUUCGUCCCUUGCUUCAAACUCUCACACUCCUUUUUUGGAUUGACAAUGAUGGAUGGAGAUGAUGAGGAGCGGUGAGGAUGAAGAAGUUUGAGCGCGGUAGCUCUGUUGCAGGUUUUGUAGAAGAAAUUGCCGAUGGAGGAGAUGAAUGGAGAGUUGAGUCCAAUUGGUGAAGAACUCAGAAAGACAGAAGGUGAUGGAAAAAAAUGGAAUUCGAUUUUUAUUGAAGGAUCCUCCAGAGCUUGGUUGAAGGUUCGUCCGCCAUUGGGAGUUUAUUCACGCUGCUGCUAUUCGGAUUGUGGUUGGCUGCUGCUGUUGAUGUCGUUGUUGCAGCUUUUUAUGAUUUGUGUUUUCAACCUUCUGUUGUGUCGUGCUCAGUGUGAGUUAUAGAUGCAUUUCAUUUGGCCACGUUUUCGUCUUGGUUUUGGCGUCUUGUGCCUUGCAGCUUUCGCAUUUGGAGUUGCUUGUACGUCGCCGUUUAGAUGCGUUUGGCUUGCGUUCCUGGAUGCUGCAUAUUUUUUGCUUGCUGCGUUUUGCAUUUGUUGGUUUGCAGUGUGCUUAUGUACUUUGGUAGCAGCCUUUGGCUCUCACUGCCGUGGCUUUGUUUUUACUUUUCAUUCAAUGUAAAAAAAAAAUCUAAUUA